rnacentral:tRNA from 1 species
AAGGGUAUAGCUCAGUGGUAGAUUGUGUGUUUAGCAUGCAUGAGGUCCUGGGUUCAAUCCCUAGUAUCUCUG